rnacentral:rRNA from 1 species
CAGUAGCCGCGGGAAUACGGAGGGGGCUAGCGUCGUUCGGAAUUACUGGGCGUAAAGCGUACGUAGGCGGCUUUGUAAGUUAGAGGUGAAAGCCUGGUGCUCAACACCAGAACUGCCUUUAAGACUGCAUCGCUUGAACGUCGGAGAGGUGAGUGGAAUUCCGAGUGUAGAGGUGAAAUUCGUAGAUAUUCGGAAGAACACCAGUGGCGAAGGCGGCUCACUGGACGACUGUUGACGCUGAGGUACGAAAGCGUGGGGAGCAAACAGGAUUAGAUACCCGAGUAGUCCCUGUCUCUUAUAC